CCUCUUUCUACUGAGUGUUUGCAGUGCUAGUGUUUUUAGCCAAUCUGUGCAGCUCACAUUAUGUGCCCAGUAUGAUAGUUGUCUUUCUCUUUCUUAGCAGAUAAUGACAACUUGACAAUAACAGUAGCUGAUGUAAUGAAAAGUUGGACAGUGGUUGGUAAUGGAGGACAUCAGGUGGAUCCAUGUCUGUGUUAGACAGAACCCCUAGGUCCUGGAGAACAGGAGCAGAGUAAACGGAACGGCUUAGGAGACAGACGUAAACAAGCAAACACAGGUUAAAUGAUUGUCAGGACUCACACCAGAGCCAGAAGCCAUGAUGUUGAAGAUGACGCUCAAGAUUUCAUGUAUCUCUUUUCACACCCUUAUCACACACCAUGGCAGACUUUGGUUGUGUUCCAGGCUGACAACAUUUCAAAGACGUUGCAUUACAUCAACCAAUGAACUUGUGUGCUACAUCCUCGACUGCACAGUCAGGCAACAGACUACUAAAUCAUAUGAAAAGAUGCCUUACUCCAAGAACUCCAGGAGCUCUUGGACAUAUCCGAUGUCCACGAUGAGACCUCACCACCACUGCUCAACGGCCUCAUAAGACUGGGAUACCAGACAGCAAAUGUGUUCAAAAAGGUGGAAGGAGGCGAGGCCAUAUCUCAUUGAUAACUGGCUGGCAGAAGAGGGUAAUCACCCAGAUGUCAACAGUGCAGUACCAACCCUGCUGUAAUGCACUAAAGAAAUUGCUUUUGGGAAGCACAGCCGCGAGCUGCCCAUUGACACGAGCCUACCAGACAAGGUAAAUUACUUCAAUGCUCGCAUCGAGGCAAGCAACACUGAAGCAUGCAUGAGAGCAUCAGCUGUUCCGUACAACUGUGUGAUCAUGCUCUCCGUAGCCGAUGUGAGUAAGACCUUUAAACAGGUCAACAUUCACAAGGCCGCAGGGCUAGACGAAUUACCAGGACGUGUAUUCCGAGCAUGCGCUGACCAACUCGCAAGAGUCAUCACUGACAUUUUCAACCUGUCCCCGACUGAGUCUGUAAUACCGACAUGUUUCAAGCAGACCACCAUAGUCCCUGUG
rnacentral:lncRNA from 1 species